UGACUAUUGUUUUGACUUUUCAACUGCUU
rnacentral:piRNA from 1 species